rnacentral:rRNA from 1 species
ACGCUCGACACCUACGGGAGGCAGCAGUGGGGAAUAUUGCACAAUGGGGGAAACCCUGAUGCAGCGACGCCGCGUGAGCGAAGAAGUAUUUCGGUAUGUAAAGCUCUAUCAGCAGGGAAGAAACUGACGGUACCUGACUAAGAAGCACCGGCUAAAUACGUGCCAGCAGCCACGGUAAUCUGAGCGGGCUGGCAAGGC